UACCCAGGAGAGUGGCAAUCACA
rnacentral:miRNA from 1 species